rnacentral:rRNA from 1 species
UCAGGAUGAACGCUAGCUACAGGCUUAACACAUGCAAGUCGAGGGGCAGCAGGAACCUAGCUUGCUAGAUUGCUGGCGACCGGCGCACGGGUGAGUAACGCGUAUCCAACCUUCCCCAUAGUAGAGGAUAGCCCGGCGAAAGUCGGAUUAAUACUCUAUGUUGUAUUUUGAGGACAUCUGACGAAUACCAAAGAUUGAUCGCUAUGGGAUGGGGAUGCGUCUGAUUAGGUUGUUGCGGGGUAACGGCCCACCAAGCCGACGAUCAGUAGGGGUUCUGAGAGGAAGGUCCCCCACAUUGGUACUGAGACACGGACCAAACUCCUACGGGAGGCAGCAGUGAGGAAUAUUGGUCAAUGGGCGAGAGCCUGAACCAGCCAAGUAAGCGUGCAGGACGACUGCCCUAUGGGUUGUAAACUGCUUUUAUAGGGGAAUAAAGUCCACUACGUGUAGUGGUUUGUAUGUACCCUAUGAAUAAGGACCGGCUAAUUCCGUGCCAGCCGCCGC